rnacentral:lncRNA from 1 species
UGCGAUUAUUAUUGCAUAGUUUUUUUAUUUUCUAUGUUGUGUUUUGUGUGCUAUAGUUUUUGUUUUGGUCUUUUCCUUUUUUCGCCAUGGCUUUGUUUGUUUAUUUUCGACAUUUUAGUUCAAAUGUCCAUUUGGUAUCUUUUAAAACUUUUAUCUUUAAAAAAUAAAUCAAUUUUAGCACCGAUUAAAAGAUAUGCAAAGGUCGUAGUACAUAUAUAAAAUUGAAUUUGAAAAU